rnacentral:misc_RNA from 1 species
GAUGAAGAACGUAGCGAAAUGCGAUAAGUAGUGUGAAUUGCAGAAUUCAGUGAAUCAUCGAAUCUUUGAACGCACAUUGCGCCCCUUGGUAUUCCAUGGGGCAUGCCUGUUCGAGCGUCAUUUGUACCUUCAAGCUUUGCUUGGUGUUGGGUGUUUGUCCCGAGGGACUCGCCUUAAAGUAAUUGGCAGCCAGUGUUUGGUUCUGAAGCGCAGCACAAGUCGCGAUUCAAGGCUACACGCCCGCUCCCACAAGCCUUUUUCACUUUUGACCUCGGAUCAGGUAGGGAUACCCGCUGAACUUAAGCAUAUCAAUAAGCGGAGGA